rnacentral:rRNA from 1 species
UACGAAGGGGGCAAGCGUUGUUCGGAAUUACUGGGCGUAAAGCGUGCGCAGGCGGUUGUGCAAGACCGAUGUGAAAUCCCCGGGCUUAACCUGGGAAUGGCAUUGGUGACUGCACGGCUAGAGUGUGGCAGAGGGGGGUAGAAUUCCACGUGUAGCAGUGAAAUGCGUAGAGAUGUGGAGGAAUACCGAUGGCGAAGGCAGCCCCCUGGGAUAACACUGACGCUCAUGCACGAAAGCGUGGGGAGCAAACAGG